AUUCGCGGCCUAUCAGCUUGUUGGUGAGGUAGUGGCUCACCAAGGCAACGACGGGUAGCUGGUCUGAGAGGACGAUCAGCCACACUGGGACUGAGACACGGCCCAGACUCCUACGGGAGGCAGCAGCGGGGAAUAUUGCACAAUGGGCGCAAGCCUGAUGCAGCGACGCCGCGUGAGGGAUGAAGGCCUUCGGGUUGUAAACCUCUUUCAGGAGGGACGAAGCGAAAGUGACGGUACCUCCAGAAGAAGCCCCGGCCAACUACGUGCCAGCAGCCGCGGUAAUACGUAGGGGGCAAGCGUUGUCCGGAUUCAUUGGGCGUAAAGAGCUCGUAGGCGGCUCAGUAAGUCGGCCGUGAAAGCCCGGAGCUCAACUCCGGGACGCCGGUCGAUACUGCUGUGGCUAGGGUCCGGUAGAGGAGAGUGGAAUUCCCGGUGUAGCGGUGAAAUGCGCAGAUAUCGGGAGGAACACCAGUAGCGAAGGCGGCUCUCUGGGCCGGUACCGACGCUGAGGAGCGAAAGCUAGGGGAGCAAACAGGAUUAGAUACCCUGGUAGUCCUAGCCGUAAACGUUGGGCACUAGGUGUGGCGGAUUCAAUUGAUGUCUGCCGUGCCAAUUAGGCUUAACCAGACAAAUUUU
rnacentral:rRNA from 1 species